UAUAUAUAUAUACACACACACACAUAGAAGGUGCAGCAGAAAUAACACCCUUUUGUAUUUGAGUUUUCUGGUUUCUGAUUGAGUUUCUUUUUUUUAUUUCCUAAAAACUUCUGCGAUUUUUUCAUUAGUUUAUUAUUCAUUUCUUUAAGUAAUCCAAAAAAUUUGUGUUCAAUAAAAAAUUACUUAAUAAACAUUUAUAUACUAUAAAAAUUACGUGCAAUA